UGCGGUGGUCAUAGUAUUGGGGAAACGCCCGGCAACAUUCCGAACCCGGAAGCUAAGCCCAACAACGCCGAUGGUACUGCACCCGACAGGGUGUGGGAGAGUAGGAAACCGCCGCAA
rnacentral:rRNA from 2 species